rnacentral:rRNA from 1 species
GACGAACGCUGGCGGCGUGCUUAACACAUGCAAGUCGAACGAUGAAGCUGGAGCUUGCUCCAGUGGAUUAGUGGCGAACGGGUGAGUAACACGUGAGCAAUCUGCCCUUGACUCUGGGAUAACUGCGGGAAACUGUAGCUAAUACCGGAUACGACACCUUGGGGCAUCCCGGGGUGUGGAAAGAAUUUCGGUCAAGGAUGAGCUCGCGGCCUAUCAGCUUGUUGGUGAGGUAAAGGCUCACCAAGGCGACGACGGGUAGCCGGCCUGAGAGGGUGACCGGCCACGCUGGAACUGGUCCACGGUCCAGACUCCGACGGGAGGCAGCAGUGGGGAAUAUUGCACAAUGGGCGAAAGCCUGAUGCAGCAACGCCGCGUGAGGGAUGACGGCCUUCGGGUUGUAAACCUCUUUUAGCAGGGAAGAAGCGAAAGUGACGGUACCUGCAGAAAAAGCACCGGCUAACUACGUGCCAGCCGCCGCCGUAA